AUACGGAGGGUGCAAGCGUUGUCCGGAUUUAUUGGGUUUAAAGGGUGCGUAGGUGGCGUGUUAAGUCAGUGGUGAAAGCCAGCAGCUCAACUGUAGAGGUGCCAUUGAUACUGACAUGCUUGAGUAUGGACGAGGUAGGCGGAAUUUGUGGUGUAGCGGUGAAAUGCAUAGAUACCACAAAGAACACCGAUAGCGAAGGCAGCUUACUGGACCAUAACUGACACUGAGGCACGAAAGUGUGGGUAGCGAACAGGAUUAGAAACCCUAGUAGUCC
rnacentral:rRNA from 1 species